CAGAAAGCUCAUUUAAUGGCAGUGUAAAACGGAAACAGGCAGACUGAAAUGGAAAGCAUAGGAUGUAUCAAGCUUUAGAAUAGUUUUAAAGUUGCAUUUACACCGACAGUAGAGACUGAGUUCAGGUUAAUAACACUCCACUGCAUCCAGUGUCUAUUCACAUAUGGAAAUAGCAUAUAGAGAAUGCCAUGGAAGAAAGCUCGGCAUCAUUCCUUGGCUUGUUGGCACUGUGUGGUGUGGGCGCACUGCCUAUAAGUCCAGCUGUUCACCCAACAGUGAUCAACAGCACCGGAAAACAGUAUGGCAGAAACAUAAGUGCUGAACAUUGCAAAUAGCUCCAGUGAUGCAUGAGAUUUUAGCACAAGGUGAGCUUUCCAGGAGCACUGUGGGUCCAGCAUCACUCCCAGACUCAAGUCCUUCUUUAAUAAAAAAGCAAAAUAUGAAUACUCCUCUUCAUCGGUGUCUUUCUGUGUGGUUUCGCUUGCUGCUUCUGUACCCUAUCUGUCUUUUGUGGUGUUAGAGAGGAUGCACAAAUGCUCUCAAGUGAAAAGGUGAUGACGAUGAAUUGUUUGAAUGAUCCCCUAGGUUGUGAGGAUGGUGGAUGGGGAAGGGGCUGCUCAGCCUCUGCUCUGAUUGGGUUUGCUCUGUUUGCAGUGAGCUCUCAUGGUGUAAUAUCUCCCCAAGCUAUAAUAUCAUUCUAGUAAUGUAAUUUAUAGCACUGUUUGUUUUCAUUUAUGGUUUAACAGACCAGCUGGCAAUUAGGCUCUAAUUAUGCUGUUAUGCAAAGUAUCUCCAUUUAUUUUUAUAACAUCAACUGCAGCAUAAGCUGUAUUUGUUUUUAAUUGUGAAAUCAGCCAUGGCAACACACUGCAGUGAUCCAUGUGUCACAGCUGGGAAUGCUGCUCAGCUUGGCCGGGUAAGGUGCAGAAGAGUGGGAUGGGUCGCAGUCCUCGGCCUCCCCAUUCACACUGUGCUAUCGCUGCUUCUCCUCCUUCCUCUGUGCCGUUUCUCACCAGAAGAAACCAAACUGUGACAUUCCACAGUAGCACAGGGCUCUACCAAUUUGUGCACACGACUUGCUGGGCGCGCAGGGCUGUGCUGUUAGCAGCUCUGCAGGGGGAAGUAUUUGGGCAUGUGCAUAAGAAAGCCCUCAGAAGGGCUGGAGAUGAGCAGGAACAUCCUGAGCAAGGCUGCACAAGGUAGCUCACAUCUCUCUUCCUCCUUCGUCUUCCAUCAGUCACGUCUCCUGCUGAGCUUCCACUUUUCCAGUUAUCUUCAGUCCAAAUUUCUUUCCCCUCUUUGCUUCCAUUGUGCUGUAUUUCUUGCCACGUCCCCAUAACGCAGAGAUUUCUUGCCCUUGUUUCCAGAAACCAAGUUUGGGAAUUCCCUCGUGUGUUCAGCUGUAGGUGGCUGUUAACUUCCCAGCUUUCCUGUCGCCAAGAGCACACACACACAUUCACAAGCACUUAAGACAGCUUAGGCUUUGUGAUCACAAAAGUUUCAGUGAUAGGGUGUGGCUUGCAUAUGGCUCCAAAUGUUUAAAUCUGCAUUGGCCAGAAGAUCUGUCCUCACCCAUUGGACUUCUUCACAGAACGACGUGUCUUAUCUUACUAGGCAGGGACCAGGCGGACAUGAGUUCAGCUCUUGGCAUGACCACAGACCUCCUGAAUGAGCUCAGAUGAGUUCUGGUGUGGGCUGUUCCCAAAAUCUGCUUCUGCAAAGCAGGGACGCCCUCCCUCGUUCUGCUCUUCCAUCACAUCUCUUUGAUUGUCCUGUCCUUGGGAGCCGCUGUCUGCAUCCCUGGUGCCUCUGAGCAUGUUCUGGUUUCAGGCUGAGGUUGGCAGUUACU
ensembl:lncRNA